rfam:Rattus norvegicus chromosome 10, whole genome shotgun sequence.
UGGCUCAGCGGUUAAGAGCACUGGCUGCUCUUCCAGAGGUCCUGAGUUCAAUUCUCAG